AACCCAAACUAAUAAAAACCGGCGUAAAGUGUGUUUAAGUUAGACUAAAAAUAAAGUUAAUAAUUAACUAAACUGUAGAAAGUUAUAGUUAAUAUUAAAAUAUACAAUAAAAAUGACUUUAAUACUACUGACUACACGAAAACUAAGAUACAAACUGGGAUUAGAUACCCCACUAUGCUUAGUAAUAAACUGAAAUAAUUUAUAACAAAAUUAUUCGCCAGAGAACUACUAGCCAUUGCUUAAAACUCAAAGGACUUGGCGGUGCCUUAAACCCACCUAGAGGAGCCUGUUCUAUAAUCGAUAAACCCCGAUAUACCCGACCUUAUCUUGCCAAUA
rnacentral:rRNA from 1 species